ensembl:lncRNA
GAGCAGACUCGGGCCGAACCCCGCAAGAUCCAGGUUGUGGUAGACUGGCUGAGCCGGUAGUCGGUAGACGUCACAGACAUGAACCAGUGGGCCUAUAGGCAGGGCCCCGGUGGGGUCGAGGAUAAUACCAAGGUUGCGGAGCAGCCUGGAGGGGGUGAAAAUGCAGCCAUCAAUGUUGAAAGAGAAGAUCUGCGCUCAGCGGAUGAGGGUGGUAGGGCUGAUGCGAACAGAAGUGAAGCGUAGCUGGACUGCAGAGGAGUGAGAUAGAAACUUCUACAUCACCCUGGACAUGGGAGAACGCAGCUUUAAGGCACUUUAUAAAGAAGACCAAGAUGGUGGCAGUGAACUAACCCACAUAAGGUGUCAGCUGUCCAAUGACUCCUCCUGUCCUCC